UACAGAGGGGGCAAGCGUUGUUCGGAAUUACUGGGCGUAAAGGGCCAGUAGGCGGCCAACUAAGUCCGACGUGAAAUCCCCCGGCUUAACCUGGGAACUGCGUCUGAUACUGGAGGGCUUGAGUAUGGGAGAGGGAUGUAGAAUUCCAGGUGUAGCGGUGAAAUGCGUAGAUAUCUGGAGGAAUACCGGUGGCGAAGGCGGCAUCCUGGACCAUUACUGACGCUGAGGCGCGAAAGCUAGGGGAGCAAACGGG
rnacentral:rRNA from 1 species